CCUCUGGCUUUAUAUCAAACCUCUGAAAUCCGUCAACAAAGUCAUUGCUAUUUUCCUUACCGGGUGAUUUUGCCAUUUCAGCCUGCUUAGAAUCACGUUCUAGUGUUCCUGAGGGCGAGUCCGGAUUUAUAAGAACGUCUCGACCUUUCACAUCGCCUUCCAUGUUCGCCAGAAUAUUGGUCUGAGAAGAAAAUUCGUUGUUUACAUUCGCUUCCGAAAGGGCUUUUGCUCCGGUCGGGUUAUUUCUGACAUUUCUAUUUUAUUUGGGUAAGGUUUCGCCAAACAAUUCACAAACAACCGUUAGGCGUUAGCAAUAUUAGAACCAUGUAGAAAAUGGACAAUAUA